rnacentral:rRNA from 1 species
GAUGAACGCUGGCGGCGUGCCUAAUACAUGCAAGUCGAGCGAACGGACGAGAAGCUUGCUUCUCUGAUGUUAGCGGCGGACGGGUGAGUAACACGUGGAUAACCUACCUAUAAGACUGGGAUAACUUCGGGAAACCGGAGCUAAUACCGGAUAAUAUUUUGAACCGCAUGGUUCAAAAGUGAAAGACGGUCUUGCUGUCACUUAUAGAUGGAUCCGCGCUGCAUUAGCUAGUUGGUAAGGUAACGGCUUACCAAGGCAACGAUGCAUAGCCGACCUGAGAGGGUGAUCGGCCACACUGGAACUGAGACACGGUCCAGACUACUACGGGAGGCAGCAGUAGGGAAUCUUCCGCAAUGGGCGAAAGCCUGACGGAGCAACGCCGCGUGAGUGAUGAAGGUCUUCGGAUCGUAAAACUCUGUUAUUAGGGAAGAACAUAUGUGUAAGUAACUGUGCACAUCUUGACGGUAACUAAUCAGAAAGCCACGGCUAACUACGUG